GACGAACGCUGGCGGCGUGCCUAAUACAUGCAAGUAGAACGCUGAAGGAGGAGCUUGCUUCUCUGGAUGAGUUGCGAACGGGUGAGUAACGCGUAGGUAACCUGCCUGGUAGCGGGGGAUAACUAUUGGAAACGAUAGCUAAUACCGCAUAAUAGUAGAUGUUGCAUGACAUUUGCUUAAAAGGUGCAAUUGCAUCACUACCAGAUGGACCUGCGUUGUAUUAGCUAGUUGGUGAGGUAACGGCUCACCAAGGCAACGAUACAUAGCCGACCUGAGAGGGUGAUCGGCCACCCUGGGACUGAGACACGGCCCAGACUCCUACGGGAGGCAGCAGUAGGGAAUCUUCGGCAAUGGACGGAAGUCUGACCGAGCAACGCCGCGUGAGUGAAGAAGGUUUUCGGAUCGUAAAGCUCUGUUGUAAGGGAAGAACGAGUGUGAGAGUGGAAAGUUCACACUGUGACGGUAUCUGACCAGAAAGGGACGGCUAACUACGUG
rnacentral:rRNA from 1 species